GAUGAACGCUGGCGGCGUGCCUAAUACAUGCAAGUCGAGCGAACAGACGAGGAGCUUGCUCCUCUGACGUUAGCGGCGGACGGGUGAGUAACACGUGGAUAACCUACCUAUAAGACUGGGAUAACUUCGGGAAACCGGAGCUAAUACCGGAUAAUAUAUUGAACCGCAUGGUUCAAUAGUGAAAGACGGUUUUGCUGACACUUAUAGAUGGAUCCGCGCCGCAUUAGCUAGUUGGUAAGGUAACGGCUUACCAAGGCAACGAUGCGUAGCCGACCUGAGAGGGUGAUCGGCCACACUGGAACUGAGACACGGUCCAGACUCCUACGGGAGGCAGCAGUAGGGAAUCUUCCGCAAUGGGCGAAAGCCUGACGGAGCAACGCCGCGUGAGUGAUGAAGGUCUUCGGAUCGUAAAACUCUGUUAUUAGGGAAGAACAAAUGUGUAAGUAACUAUGCACGUCUUGACGGUACCUAAUCAGAAAGCCACGGCUAACUACGUG
rnacentral:rRNA from 1 species